GGCCGACGAGGAAGGAAAGGAGGACGGGACAUGGAAGACUCCACAUGGCUUUCAGCAGCGGCGACGAUCGACGACGAGGCUGCCUGCCUGCCUGCCUUUGAAGCGUUCAAAAGGUGGCGUCGACAGACGACAGCGUGUGCUCGGCAAAGGCCAAGCCGACCAAUGCACGGCCGACCUGUCACAACGGCUGGGUCUGCUGACGCGCCUGUGUCGUCGUGUCGUUCAUGUACUGCUUCGCAGAUGCUUCCUUCUCAGCAGCCUGUGUCGUUUCAGCUCGCUCGCCAUCGAACGGGACCGAUGGUGAUCCGUCGAUGUGGAGAUGGGGAUGGCUGAGCUGAGUGAUUCGAUUCCUUCCUUCUUUGCGAGCAUUUCGUUUUUCCAAUGAUGCUGUCUCAUCCGAUUGUUUCCUCCAUGAGAUCAGAGUGUGGGAUUUUAUGCUUUUCAUAUCACGGAGAAUGAUAAAGUUAUAGUGCAAUUAUAGUCCUUCGAUGACCUAGUAUGCGCUUGAUUUGAGGAUCAAAUGGGAGGGACUAGUCCUGUUUCUUUUUUGGAUGUGUUCAUAUAUUUGAUUUUGAUUUGAUUGGGAUGCAUAGGUUCGUUCUGAUUUUUUGUUUGGUU
rnacentral:lncRNA from 1 species